GGAAAAGAGUGAAUGAAAGUUAGACUCCUUGGCUACUCCCAAUUUCCUCUUUAUUUUGUAAUUUGGGAUCUGUAAAACUUUGAAUACUGGGCUUCUUUUGUAUUUUUACAAAGUAAUAAGGACAACUUAUCAUAAAAGAGUGCCAGAGACUGGGCACUUUCACCAAAAGCCUUUAGGCAGGCGACUGUUCACUGCCUCGGUAAAGACUAUGAUCAUCUUUCCUUGGCUCAGAGCACCUUAGGGAGGCCCAGGUAUCUAAUUAUGACAUCAUCUUUGUUAAUGAUCACUGUGGCUUUUCAGAACAGUCCACUUCUCUCUACAAGGAGAAAUGUUUUUCUUGGCUGACUGCCGCCACCUUCUUUUGUAUUUGAGGAAAAGGGAUGACUGUUUAGCAGCUGGUAAUUUCAGGGAUUACAAGAUAAUACUUCUUGAAGCUACUUUUCAUCCUGAAGCUAAUAUUAAGGCAACCUCAGAUUUACAAGUCUGCAAAGCAGAAAUGAAGGCACUGUAGUUGCACCACGGCCUCCAACAUAGGACAGGCACAAGACAGUUCACUAGGGCUUAAGGGGGAAGUGUGAGAACUUAUAUUUCUCUACAAAAGAAAUAAACUUUGCUAAUCGGCACUCAGAUGCUUGUUCUGUGUAUGUAAAAAAGUCAUGGGGUAUAUGAGGGGUCUGAAGGUAAGAGUAGGGACUGUACAACAUGUACAAGUCAGAGGAGUUGAUGCUGGGGCCCUUAUUCAUUCUUACCACAUUGAGAAGUUACAGUUUCCGUGUGUCUAGUAAAUAGAGUUACAGAUUAUAUUAUCUGGUUUUAACAAAACUCUCAAUAUAAGACAGGCGGCUUUUGAAAAAUGGCUGAUUCUCACAGUCAUAUUUUAACCUAAUACCCUUGUGGAAUUCAGCGAGGACAUGCUGGUAGGGACCUGACUAUUGUUACUAGUUUUGAAUGUCUCAUCUGUUACAGGGCCACUGCUCUGACCUCUCCAAGUCAGGUGUAGUCCCCACCUGCUCUGGAUUCUCCCAGGGAACCUUUGGAUCUCCUCAAGAUCUAACAACCAAUGGGUUAAUGUCUGGAAUAGUAGGAGGCCUCAAGACCCUUCCCUAGCACUAAAGACCUGUGACCAUUUCGACUGGUCUCUUCCAACUGGGAUGUUUUCUGUGAUGGGCAAGUACUUGCAUGGCUUCUGCUUUUGACCACUAUUGGAAAACGUUUCUGCAUCUUAUUCUGAUGAAGAAUGACAUAAAUAAGGGAUCUUACUUGUAAAUAUCCACAACAUGUUCUCCUUGGUCCAGAGCUCCAACAGCCAAGCUGCUGCUACUUGGCACCUGCAUGUCCUGGUGUUCUUAAGUGUGUGCUGUUCCACAUCACAGUGAUGGGGUGUGGGACUUUUGAGGGAAGAGACUUGGCCCACGGAGGACUAAAGCGUUGCCACAGAUGAGUUGGUCAUAGACAGUAUCAAAGGGGAGUUUGUUACUCAAGUUUGCAAAGGACAUUAUUAGACAACCCAACAAUCCCACAGCAGCGUGGCCAUGCAGAGACUUCCAUGACUUCAUCUAUCUACUUACGUUGCACCUAUCUACUCAGCAUCUACUAUGUGGGGCUAACUGUGGCACUGAAGAUACGGACAUGAGAAAGAGAGAGUGCCUUUGUUAAGGAGCUCACAUCCCAGUGAGAAAGCAAGGUUAAGAGAAUGAUACAAUUCAAGAUAAGAACAGACACAGAAAUGUGUCACGUGCUAUGGGACUGCAGAGAAAGGAGAGAAUAGAUCUCCCUGCGGGCUGGGAGGAGCAGUGGGGAAAGCUUCACAGAAAAGUACCUUUUCAAUUAGGCUUUAACUUUGGACAGUUGCUUUCAAAGCUGGAGGCAGGAGAAGGGAAGUAGGACAGGCAUGGAGGCACCAGCCACAGAGCACCUCAAGGCAGAGGAGAUUUGGGUGCUGUGCCACCUGGGAGGUGAGGCUGAUAGGACAGCUGUGCAUCAGGCAGGGAAGCUGGAGGGGUAGGUCAGACCAGAAUGACAUGGGUCCUGAAAGCUUUGUUAAUUACGUUACUCUGGAGGCAGUGGGGAGCCACUGAAGGUUUUAAAGCAUGGCCUCCUGUGCCAUGCUAAGAAACAGCUAAUUUUACUGAAGGCAAUGGCAAAGGACAUCAAGCAGGCAAGGAUUGUUCCAAUUUUCCCUUUGAUGAGCCCACUAGCACUAUGAGGCAGUAAUAAGGCUGCUGCCAUAGUUCACGUGAAGGAAGAAGAUGCUCUACCAGUGCAAAUGGAGUAGAGGUGAAAACAUAGAUUCAAGGUACAUUUCAGAGGGAGAGAAAGCAAGAUACUAUUCCUUCUUGUGUGUUGGGCGAUGGGGGGAAGGCAGAAGACAUGCAAGCCUGGAUGUUUCAAACCUAGUGAGUGGGCUAGAGCUGCUUCCAUUUAUGUUCCUAAGCACUGCUUUGGCAUUUAUACUGGAAUCCUAAGGGUCAAUAAGAUAUUUUUCCUUUUGUAGGGGUCAGAUUAGCUGCCAAAGCACUGGAGGAGUUGGAGGAGUUGGAGGAGUUGCUGACAUCAGCCCUUAGAGUUUGGAAUAUAGCAAUACUGCUUUAUCUGGAUUUUCCACAGGCCCCUGUUAUGGGCUGAAUUGGGUCCUCCCAAAAUUCAUGAGAUGAAGUGCUUGCCCCUAGUACCUCACAAUAUGAUUGUAUUUAAAGAUAAGUCAUUUAAAAAGGCAGUGGCAUUAAAAUGGGGUUGUUAGGGUGGACCCAAAUCCAAUAUGAUGGGUGUCAUAGCAAGAGGAGAUUAGAACACAGACAACACAGACAGAGGGACAAGGAUCAUGUGAGGUCACAGCAGGAAGGUGGCCAUCUGUAAGCGAAGGAGAGAGGUUUCAGGAGAAACCAAACCUGUCAGUAUCUUGAUCUUGGAGAUUGUAUUACUCUGUUCUCAUGCUGCUAAUAAAGAUAUACCCAAGACUGGGCAAUUUACAAAAUAAAGAGGUUUAAUGGACUUACAGUUCCACAUGGCUGGGGAGGCCUCACAAGGCAAAAGGCAAGGAGGAGCAAGUCGCAUUUUAUGUGGAUGGCAACAGGCAAACAGAGUUUCUGUGGGGAAACUCCCCUUUUUUAAAAUCAUCAGAUCUCGUGAGACUUAUUUGCUUUCAUGAGAACAGCAUGGGAAAGACCUGCUCCUGUGACUCAAUUACCUCCCACCGAGUCUCUCCCACAACACGUGGGAAUUCAAGAUGAGAUUUGGGUGGGGACACAGCCAAACCAUAUCAGACAUCUAGAGUCCAGAACUGUGAGAAAAUAAAUUUCUAUUGUUUAAGCCACCUAGUCUGCAGUGUUUUGUUAUGGGAGCCUGAGCAAACUAAUACACUUCCUAUGAAGAAAAUCUCACGUGAAGUCCAAGCCUGUCUGGUCUAAGAGAAAAAAGUCACCACCUGAGAACUGGGACCACAUUCUUUGUUCUAAUUGUUCCAGCUAGUCCAGCUUCUCCACUAACCUACUUAAUCAUUACAGACAUGGGCACUGUGACAAUGAUGGCCAGG
rnacentral:lncRNA from 1 species